GCAACUCUCUCUGGUCCCUUUCCACACUGUGGAAGCUUUGUUCUUUUGCUCUUUACACUAAAUCUUGUUGCUGCUCAGUGUUUGGGUCCGCACGGCGUUUGUGAGCUGUAACACUCACCACGAAGGUCUGCAUCUUUGCUCCUGAAGCCAGCGCGAAGGUGUGCAGCUUCAGUCCUGAAGCCAGCGAGAUCGCGAACCCGCCAGGAGGGACGAACAACUCCCGCCAGGAGGAACAAACUUCUCCAGACGUGGCGCCGCCUUUAAGAACUGUAACACUCACCGCGAAAGUCUGUAGCUUCGCUCCUGAAGCCAGCGAGACCGCGAACCCACCAGAACAAAGAAACUCCGGACACAUCAUCUUUAAGAACUCACUGGGAGAGUCUGCGGCUUCAUUCCUGAAGUCAGCGAGACCAAGAACCCACCAAUUCUGGACACAAUUGGAUACUAUAAUCGAUAAAGCUUGGCCUUCAGAAAUUCCCAGUCUUGCAAAGGCAAGAGGGAAACACAGCAAGGAGCAAGGUUGUCUGCUGAAUAUUUGCCAAGAGGAAGUUUGGGGAAAUGCCACAUGCAUAGUAAUUCCAAGUAGUAUGAUGUCUCUUCCUGUAACUCUUCAGAUUCUCAAUCCGGUCUCCUGAGAAAGACAAUCACUUAUUCUAUGGGAAGCCUGCUGCCAUGCUAUGAGGACACUCAGGCAGUACUGUGGAGAGUUGCACAUGGUAAAGAACUGAGCUCUCUUGCCAACAUCCAUGGAAUGCAAAUAAAUAAUAACUGUUAAGUCCACCUUGAAGCCCACUUGGGAAACAGUUAAACCCAAGGCACAGUUUCUCAAAAAGUGUUUGUGGAAUCCGUGAAGUUACUCAACCUGUGGGCUGCCACCUCCUCAGCUGUAGAACAGACAUCUUCACAGUACACACCUAACAGGAUGGCUGAGCUAAUGAACUUUACAAACU
rnacentral:lncRNA from 1 species